rnacentral:rRNA from 1 species
GAUGAACGCUGGCGGCGUGCCUAAUACAUGCAAGUCGAGCGAACAGACGAGGAGCUUGCUCCUCUGAUGUUAGCGGCGGACGGGUGAGUAACACGUGGAUAACCUACCUAUAAGACUGGGAUAACUUCGGGAAACCGGAGCUAAUACCGGAUAACAUGUUGAACCGCAUGGUUCAACAGUGAAAGACGGUCUUGCUGUCACUUAUAGAUGGAUCCGCGCCGCAUUAGCUAGUUGGUAAGGUAACGGCUUACCAAGGCAACGAUGCGUAGCCGACCUGAGAGGGUGAUCGGCCACACUGGAACUGAGACACGGUCCAGACUCCUACGGGAGGCAGCAGUAGGGAAUUUUCCGCAAUGGGCGAAAGCCUGACGGAGCAACGCCGCGUGAGUGAAGAAGGUCCUCGGAUCGUAAAACUCUGUUAUUAGGGAAGAACAAAUGUGUAAGUAACUAUGCACGUCUUGACGGUACCUAAUCAGAAAGCCACGGCUAACUACGUG